rnacentral:rRNA from 1 species
GAUGAACGCUGGCGGCGUGCCUAACACAUGCAAGUCGAGCGAACAGAUCAGGAGUUGCCUCGUCUGACGUUAGCGGCGGACGGGAGAGUCACAUGGGGAUAACCUACCUCUAAGACUGGGAUAACUUCGGGAAACCGGCGCUAAUAGGGGAGAAUAUAUUGAACCGCAUUGUUCAAGAGUGAAAGACGGUUUUGGUUUGACUUAUAGACGGAUCCGCGCCGCAUUAGCUAGUUGGUAAAGUAACGGCUUACCAAGGCAACGAUGCGUAGCCGACCCGAGCGCGUGGACCGCCACACUGGGACUGAGGAACGGCACAGACACUGAGAGGGGGACGCGGUAGGGACUCCUCCGGGAUGGGGGAAAGCGUGAUCGAGCAAAGCCGGGGGAAUGCUGAUGGUCUUCGGAUGGGAGAACUCUGUUAGUAUGGGAGAAGUAAUGCGCAAGUAACUAUGCACAUCUUGACGGUACCUGAAGAAGAAGCCCCGGCUAACUACGUG